UUCCAUUCUCCAUGUACUCGUAUAUCAGCACUCCCUCUUCCGGACACGCUCCUACCAGAAGCACCAUGUUCGGAUGUCUUAUGGACCCUAGGUUACAUAUUUCCACUCGUUCUUCACCUCUUGCUGAAAUUGUGUCUCUCCCUGUGCUGAUCCUGGGCGCAGAACCUUCACCGCCACUGCUGUGUGAUCGAGGUGAAUUACUGGAAAGAGGUGAGGAGGUUGUGUGCAAGACGUGGAUGAGAACAAGAGUUUGGCCUCUGGAAAGAAGCGUGUCAGCAGCCCAUUUGAGAGCCUGUCUGCUCCCUUUUUUAUCCUUUUCUACAGCAACUGCCACCAAUCCAUUUCCUUUUCCUCUACUUUUAAUUAUUGAUUCCUUUGUACUUGAAACCCACAUUUAUCUAUCUAUUCUUUCUUCUUUUCUUUUCCCCCAACUCUGCAACUUUUUUCCCAAUUACUUUUUCAUCUGCUUAGUUAUUCAAUGUUUCUUGCUCUUCAACA